AGCUUUGCACAGUGGCAGUAUCAUAGCCAAUGAGGUUUAUCUGAGGGGCGAUUAUUGCUAAUUGAAACAUUCACCAAGUGUCUACUAUGGGUAAGUUUUGGCACUGGGGCUACUG
ensembl:snRNA U4 U4 spliceosomal RNA